rnacentral:lncRNA from 10 species
GUCAGCAGUGAAUCACCUGAGACGGGAGGUGGGGCGAGGCCCCAUGGCGUUGUCCCGUGGGAAGGUCAGAGACAGCAGACAGAAGCAGGGACGACAGACACAGUCCGGAGGGCUGUAAGCUAGGGGUGGUGGGAUCAGGUUUCUGAAACUUCCUCCACUGCCGUGUGGAUGCAAGGCAGAAGCUGGCCCAGGAGGGUCACUUAGAAGGCCACCUCUUAAAACAGAGAUGAGCAAAGACAACGGCUGACCUGGGGCAGGGGAAUUAGGGGUGGGGGAAGGGGAGAGGAGAUGCUGCCUGGGCUGGGGGCUGUCUUUCAUGAGGCAGCCAGAGGAGCCAAGGAUGGCCUCUGAAUGGGAGGCUGGGGCUGAGUCCAGCCAUCCCAGGACCUCCGGUGUGUGACUCCUGGACAUACCAGUCUUUGCCAUCCUAGCCCAGGCUGUCCCCACAUCCAAAGCUCCCCCUGUGGUCCCACCCCUGCUGCCCUUCAGAGCUGCGACCAUGGCCCUCAGGCCUGUCCACCGCCCUCGGCAACAUCAUGGCUAACCUGGGCUCCACACAUUUCUUCCAUCAGCAGACAGUGCCCCUCCGGGGGAAGCUCUGAGACCCAGCACCUAUCGGGAAAAACUCAAAGGUCCAGGCGCUGAAUCUAAGCCAGGCACGUUCUUCAUUUGUGUAUUAUCUACGGCCCAGUUCUUGCUGCAGCAGCGGAAUCGAGAAGCUGCGGGAGAGACCCCGCAGCCUGCAAAGCUGAAAAUAUUUACUUCCUGGCCAUUCACAGAAAAUGUUUGCCAACCCAUGACCUAAAGCAUCAUCUCUCAGAGGGUUGGGAAGGAACCUGGAAGCUGUCCCAUUCAGAGGCGGGAGCUUCAACGGGACCCUGCGUCUUCUGCCUCCAAGGCCUGUGGUAGGGGCUGUCACAGGCUGCAGAGGAGUCCAGGAGGGAGAUGCUACAGAAAUUAUCUUGCCUGUGCAUGGUGCGAGGGUCUGGAACAUACAUUUAACCAAGGCAAGGAGCGAAGUGAGAGGAAGCAAUAUUGUGGAUUGCAGGAGGUGAUGGAUGAGAUGAGAGAAGAAUCUGCAUGGUCAGAAUCUGUUUGGCAUCGGAAGGGAAGUACCCAGGAAAUUUGAGGAUCGCCUCGUCCAGUUGUCUGUGGAACUGAACUGUGAGUUGUCCAUGAGGGAUGAAUGGCAAUGCCAAUGUUUCCAGAGUUUCUGUCAUGAGGUCUCCUGGCUUGGAGAUGGAGAGGGCACACACAGGUUUCGGAUUCAAGCCUGCAGGACAGUCCUGGCUGCACCACUCAGGAACCCUGGGUGAGUCUCUUUACCCCUCACAGCCUCAGUUUUCCCUUCCUGGAAAUGGGACCACAAUCCAAACCUUGUAGAACUGCUUCAAAGAUGAAAGGAGACAUCGCAUGUGAGAUGCCGGCCCAUAGGAGCCAGGGCACGAAAGGCAGCUCCGCAUUGGGUCCCCAAAAAGUCUCCGCAGGUUGGCAGCCAAGAGAGCUACCAUUUCUUUGUUUGGAGAGAUUCCACUCCCUGGAAAGGGUAAUCCUGCAGGAAAGGAGGAGGGAGUCGUUCCAGAGUUUGGGAGAUGUCGGCUUUGACUCUGAGUGAUGCCGCCUCAAACACUUACUGUCAUACAGGAAGUUACUCAAACACAAUCAAUUAGACACCCAUAUUAGCAUAUUUGUCAUUGUAAUACAGCCGCAGAGAGGAGAUGCUGGAGACUGUUUAUUGCUGUUCUGAGCUAAUAUUUAUUAAAGUGAUUAAUAUGUUUUUCAAAUAUCUGUGACAGGCGUGGCAGGAAUUACUGAUCUCCUCCCUCGAGAGCCUGAAAGGGUGAGGGGUGGGAGUCACUUAGAGAGGGGCGGCAGGUAGGGGCCUUGGGGCCUCAGGGGACCGUGUCCUCCUCUGGGGCCCCUUUCCUGCUCGGGCCUCCUGCCUUCCAUCUUCCCCUGUCUCCUCCACCUUCAACUUCCCCUGUCUCCUCUCCUCCACCUUCAACUUCCCCCUCUACUGACCGUUCCCAUCGGCAUUCUGAGACAUCUCCCACCAUGACAAAUAGAGACCUCCCAGGAUGCCCUGUCCCCCUGCUCCUUCCUGGACCCCCUCAUCCCCAGCCAUUCUGCCAUCUUCCUCCUUCCCUCCAUAGCCAAACUCUUCAAAAGAACUCUUUUCCCUCCCUACCUCCUUUGCUCAUCUUCCAGUCUCUGCUUUUUAAAAAUCAUUACAAAAAAUUAAAAGUGGCUGGGCGCGGUGGCUCACACCUGUAAUCCCAGUACUUUUGGAGGCCAAGGCGGGAGGGAAUAACCUGAGGUCAGGAGUUCGAGACCAGCCUGGCCAACAUGGUGAAACCCUGUCUCUAUUAAAAAUACAAAAAUUAGCAGGGUGUGGUAGCUGGUGCCUGUAAUCCCAGCUACUCAGGAGGC